GAUGAACGCUGGCGGCGUGCCUAAUACAUGCAAGUCGAGCGAACAGAUGAGGAGCUUGCUCCUCUGACGUUAGCGGCGGACGGGUGAGUAACACGUGGAUAACCUACCUAUAAGACUGGGAUAACUUCGGGAAACCGGAGCUAAUACCGGAUAAUAUAUUGAACCGCAUGGUUCAAUAGUGAAAGACGGUUUUGCUGUCACUUAUAGAUGGAUCCCGGCCGCAUUAGCUAGUUGGUAAGGUAACGGCUUACCAAGGCAACGAUGCGUAGCCGACCGGAGAGGGUGAUAGGCCACACUGGAACUGAGACACGGUCCAGACUCCUACGGGAGGCAGCAGUAGGGAAUCUUCCGCAAUGGGCGAAAGCCUGACGGAGCAACGCCGCGUGAGUGAUGAAGGUCUUCGGAUCGUAAAACUCUGUUAUUAGGGAAGAACAAAUGUGUAAGUAACUAUGCACGUCUUGACGGUACCUAAUCAGAAAGCCACGGCUAACUACGUG
rnacentral:rRNA from 1 species